UACAGAGGUCCCGAGCGUUGUUCGGAUUCACUGGGCGUAAAGGGUGCGUAGGUGGCAUGGAAAGUUUGAUGUGAAAGCUCAGGGCUUAACCCUGAAAUGGCAUUGAAUACUGCCGUGCUGGAGGUUUGGAGGGGGGACUGGAAUUCUGGGUGUAGCAGUGAAAUGCGUAGAUAUCAAGAGGAACACCAGUGGCGAAGGCGAGUCCCUGGACAACACCUGACACUGAGGCACGAAAGCUAGGGGAGCAAACAGG
rnacentral:rRNA from 1 species